GCAGCCUAUGACAUUCUGAGGAGAUGUUCUCAGUGUGGCAUCCUGCUUCCCCUGCCGAUCCUAAAUCAACAUCAGGAGAAAUGCCGGUGGUUAGCUUCAUCAAAAGGAAAACAAGUGAGAAAUUUCAGCUAGAUUUGGAAAAGGAAAGGUACUACAAAUUCAAAAGAUUUCACUUUUAACACUGGCAUUCCUGCCUACUUGCUGUGGUGGUCUUGUGAAAGGUGAUGGGUUUUAUUCGUUGGGCUUUAAAAGAAAAGGUUUGGCAGAACUAAAAACAAAACUCACGUAUCAUCUCAAUAGAUACAGAAAAGGCUUUUGAUAAAAUUCAACUUGACUUCAUGUUAAAAACCCUCAACAAACCAGGCGUCGAAGGAACAUACCUCAAAAUAAUAAGAGCCAUCUAUGACAAAACCACAGCCAACAUCAUACUGAAUGAGCAAAAGCUGGAGCAUUACUCUUGAGAAGUAGAACAAGGCACUUCAGUCCUAUUCAACAUAGUACUGGAAGUCCUCGCCACAGCAAUCAGGCAAGAGAAAGAAAUAAAAGGCAACCAAAAAGAAAGGAAGUCGAAGUAUCUCUGUUUGCAGACGAUAUGAUUCUAUAUCUAGAAAACCCCAUGAUCUUGGCCCAAAAGCUCCUAGAUCUGAUAAACAACUUCAGCUAACUUUCAGGAGACAAAAUCAAUAUACAAAAUAUGGUAGCAUUUUUAUACACCAACGACAUCCAAGCUGAGAGCCAAAUCAAGAAUGCAAUCCUAUUCACAAUUGCCACAAAAAGAAUAAAAUACCUAGGAAUACAGCUAACCAGGGAGAUGAAAGAUCUCUACAAC
rnacentral:lncRNA from 10 species